GGUGCUGUAGUGUAGUGGUGAUCACGUUUCGUUGUGGUAAUUCCGCAAUUCCGAAUCGACCUGGGUUCGAUUCCCAGCAGCGCCA
rfam:Aspergillus bombycis strain NRRL26010 contig00138, whole genome shotgun sequence.